rnacentral:rRNA from 1 species
AUGGUGGCAAAAGAAGGCGCAUUGGCAAAAGAAAAGUUGCAUGGCAUAUGCUUUGAGGUUCAUAAUGUUAAUAUACGUGCUGAUGAAGCUGUGAGAGGUACAACUGCUCAGCUCAAUGAGAUGGUUAGGACAGCACUUAUCGAGUCUCAGCUCGCCGCCAAGCCAAGGCUUCUCGAACCCACCUACAUUGUGGCGAUCCAGUGCCCUAAGAGUGCCCUCAGCACUAUCUACGGAAUUCUCCACCAGAGGAAUGGUUCUGUGUAUGAGGAGUUUGUGAGAGAAGGCACGAUGCUACACAUCCUGAAGGCUUACGUUCCAGUUUAUGAUUCCUUUGGCCUCUCCAAGGCAAUCAGUGCUGCAACAUCUAAGCUGGUCACCCCGCAGUGUAUUUUUGGAUAUUGGAGCGACAUGUGCUCUGAUCCUUUCCAGGAAAAUGCGCCAGCUGGGCAAAUGGUCUUGGAUAUCCGCAAGAGGAAGAAGAUGGGCAGGCCCUCUUUCCAGAAUCACAGACGUGCACUAGCAAACUGUUUAGUGCUACUGCUCGAAGCCGACUUUGCUGGUAGAGCAAGGCAGCUCGGUUGCUCAUCCAUAGUAUGUGAUAUGAUGUCGUGUCUGAUUCGGAUUCUGUGGUUUCCCCCUUUGCAGUGCGCUCUUCUCGUUGCUAGUAUGCAGUGCUGGGGUUCGCUUCACUUGAUCGAUCGUCGACGGCAUCUAUCACCCCCUGAAGGGAACGGAGGGGCUGCUGCUCCCCCUAGCUAG